UAUUUUGACUAUACAAAGGUAUUGUAAUAAGAUUUUAAUUGAAUGCUAAGAGAAUGGAAUUUCAGGGAAAAACUGUUUUAAACUUAAAAAUUAAAUUUAUUUUAAUUUGUGAAGAAACAAUUAUUUAAAUUAAGGACAAGAAGACCCUAAGAAUUUUAAAAAUAAUAAUUUUAAUAUUAAAAUUAUUAUUUUUUAGUUGGGGCAACUAAAAAAGAUUAUAAACUUUUUAUUUAAUAAAAUGAUCCAUUAUUAAUGAUAAUUUGAUAAAAAUACUCUAGGGAUAACAGCGUAAUAAUUUUUGAUAGAACAUAUAGACAAAAUAGUUUGCGACCUCGAUGUUGGAUUAGGAUACUUUUUUAAUGAAGAUGUUAAAAAAAGAAGUUUGUUCAACUUUUAAAGUCCU
rnacentral:rRNA from 1 species